ACUCAAAUGAAUUGACGGGGGCCCGCACAAGCAGCGGAGCGUGUGGUUUAAUUCGACGCAACGCGCAGAACCUUACCAGGGCUUGACAUCCUCGGGACCCGCCGGAAAAGGCGGGGUGCCCUUCGGGGAGCCGAGAGACAGGUGCUGCAUGGCUGUCGUCAGCUCGUGUCGUGAGAUGUUGGGUUAAGUCCCGCAACGAGCGCAACCCUCGUGGUUCGUUACCAAGGUGUGUCGAACCAGACUGCCGGGCGCAACCCGGAGGAAGGGGGGGAUGACGUCAAGUCAGCAUGGCCCUUACGCCCUGGGCGACACACACGCUACAAUGGCCGGGACAGCGGGCAGCCAAGCGGUAACGCGGAGCCAAUCCCUGCAAACCCGGUCUCAGUUCGGAUUGGGGGCUGCAACUCGCCCCCAUGAAGGCGGAGUUGCUAGUAACCGCCGGUCAGCCAUACGGCGGUGAAUCUGUUCCCGGGCCUUGUACACACCGCCCGU
rnacentral:rRNA from 1 species